AAUUCUAUGUCAAAGAAGACUUUUUUGAUGUUUCCAAGUAAGUAUUUUCAUAAUUUCGAUUGGAAAAUCUUUUCGGAUCGGAGUGAUUUAAAAUUUAUCAGAGUGAAAUUCCCUAAAAAAAGUAAAUAUAUAAAAAUACAUCAUCAAUCCGUAUAAAAUGUCUGGCGUGCCAACCUGUGGAGUCCCGUGCUGUGGCCAGGUGUGUGGGUGCAGCUACCCGGCGCCGUUCUGCGGCCCGUGUUGCGGCGUGUGCAUAGGACCAUGCGGCAAGCCCUUCGGCACCUAUAGCUGGCGUUUCAGACCGGCCUGCUGAUACACAAGCUGGAUAGUUUGAAGAUCCUAGUCUCAACUGAAAUCGUACUUUGCACAGACUAAGUUUCAGUUAAAAUGAGACAGAUUUGUGUCUUGCAUUUAAUAAAUAAUAAUUAGUCUGAGCAAAAUUCGCUCUCGGCUCUAGAUCUCAGUCGUGCAUAAUGUUUGUUCCUAAUGAUUCCUAGUGUUUUGAUUUUUGUUGAGAGAAAACUGUAUUGUCAGUACCAGGCAGCGAUGUGCAAUUUGAUUCAAUAAACUAUAUUUCAGUAUGAUUUCA